rnacentral:lncRNA from 1 species
UGAAAAUAUAAAGACAAUCUCUAAAAGAAAUCAUACAAAUGUAGCCAAACAAAAUUAUUAACAUGGAUUAAAGCAUACACAUAUUAAAUGUAUUAAAAAUUAAUCAAUGGUACAACUGUAAGACCAAAUUAAUACUGCAAUAAAAUAGGGAGGAUAAUUUACAAAUAAAGUAAUCAUAAUAUGGACCAAUGCUCCAAGCGCAUAAAUGUAUAAGGACUGAAUUUGUAAAUAUCUCGUGCCUACAAUGCUGCAUGGAACCGCGGAUCAAAGUGAAAUAACGCACAAAUUAGCAGGCCAAAUUUUAAAACACAAGGUAGGCAAAUUGGACGCAAAUUGAAGACUGUGCGCAAGGGGAAGGACUUGUUGCAUAAAUAGACCAUUUUAGGCGCAAAAGGCUCCCCCCACCCUUCUUACACGGUACCGUUUCAAAACUUUUAUAAAAGCAAACAAUUCCUCCCAAAAAAAAUGAAACAAUCGGUCCUUUUGAAAUUGAAACCCUAGCCUCUUUUUAAUCCCUCAUUUGGCCGACCAGAACUCACCCCCAAUCGCCACACCAUCAUUGUAAUAGAUGACUAGCAAUGAGUUGGGCUUGAUUUUGAAGAGGAAGAUGCAACUCUGACAACCCGAUUGAUUCAGGUGAGUGUUUCUUUAUCCCAAUCCUUUUUAUUCUAUAUUAAAAUGAGAAAUGAAAAAAAGAAAAUCACCAAAGAACGAUGCAAAUCCUGCUCCAACAAUAAAGAACAAAAGAAGGAUAAUCACCUGCCCAAAAACUCUUUUUUUUUUUUGAUUCUUUUCUCUUAAUUUCUAUACAUGUAUGCGUAAAAAAGGGAUCCCCUCUUUUUGUGUGUGUAUCUUAGUAAAAAAGGAUAAAAACUAGGCGAGAAAAUAAAGAGAAAAAAUAAGAAUCAGAACAGCGAAAAAAUGAACCACCUUCAAAAAUAUAUUUUUUUCUCGAUUGCUUGGUGUCCGUUCGUAGUUUUUACAAAAGGAAAGGUUCUUGGCUUUAUAGCCGAACCAAAUAAAACGACAAAGAAAAAUACAAUUCCUUUUCUUUUUUUAUUGCUCAGCUUGUUUUUUGCUAUUGCUAUUGUGGUUGUCAUUUGCUUGUCUUUAUUUGCAGGUACGGAGGCAACAUGGUGGGGGUAGCUGGCGCGUACGAAGGCUGCUGGUGGUGUCGACGUGGAGGCGCCAUUCAUGGUAGUGCUGGAGGCUACUGUGUUCCUUGCUGCUAGGGUUCUGGAACAUUGAUAAUUUGGGCUUUUCGGGCCUAUUCUAGUAGUUGGGCCAUAAUUUUUGUAAUUGGACUGUAAACUGGGCCGCUAUUGACAUUUGGAUUUUUAUAUUAGUGUAUUUUUCAUUUUUUUUGUGGUUUUUGUUUGAUUUGUAUUUGCACGGGCCCGGGCCAAAAUUGGGCAUUACAUGCUUGUUGUAGGCUUGAUAUUGUGAUCUUGUAGUUGAACAUUUGAUGAUAGUGGAGCUUUUGAUCGAACUCUAAA